UACGUAGGGGGCUAGCGUUGUCCGGAAUCAUUGGGCGUAAAGCGCGUGUAGGCGGUCCGGUAAGUCCGCUGUGAAAGUCGGGGGCUCAACCCUCGGAUGCCGGUGGAUACUGUCGGGCUUGAGUACGGAAGAGGAGAGUGGAAUUCCUGGUGUAGCGGUGAAAUGCGCAGAUAUCAGGAGGAACACCGAUGGCGAAGGCAGCUCGCUGGGACGGUACUGACGCUGAGGCGCGAAAGCGUGGGGAGCAAACAGG
rnacentral:rRNA from 1 species